UUGUUCCCCUCUUCCCCCUCCGGGUGUAACCCCUCCCGACAUAGUUUUUGCCUAUAUAUACUUGUAAGAUUUUCUGCUCGGGGCUCGACUCCUCUGCUCCUGCGUGAGUUACGAGUUGAGCCCCAGCGCGCUGGAAUAAAGCCUCUUGCUGUUUGCAUCAAGUGACGCCUCCUGCGGUUGAUUGGGGUCGCCGUCUGUCCGUGGGACAGAAAAGAAUCCAGGCUGGCCAG